rnacentral:rRNA from 1 species
GAGCAUGUGGUUUAAUUCGAAGAUACGCGAAAAACCUUACCAGGUCUUGACAUACCAAUGAUCGCUUUUGUAAUGAAAGCUUUUCUUCGGAACAUUGGAUA